ensembl:snoRNA
UAGCAUGUUUCUAAGGACUGUCAGAGGUAGCAGUCACGAGAUCUCCAGCUGCCCGCAAGAGCCAGUGGAGAAAUGGGCAGUGUAGGUCACUCUACUUGCUGUUGACACUGAUCUUUCCUAUAAAA